GUAGAAAACUAUUUGUAAUCCCUAGUUUGCGUCUCUGAGCUUUAACUCCCCCACACUCUCAAGCGCCCGGUUUCUCCUCGUCUCUCGCCUGCGAGCAAAGUUCCUAUGGCAUCCACUUACCAGGCAGGUGGUAUGUUGGAAGAAGAGUGGACUUUGGAAUCAGAAAACCUGGAAUCCCAACUUCACCGCUAACCGAGAGACCUUGAGCUGGUUCCUAAACCACGGGGAACUUCAGUUCCACUACAUGAGUUAUUGCAAAGGAUCUUGCUUUAUCACCCAAACUGUAAUGCAGUGGUGUGAUCAUAGCUCACUACAGCCCCGACCUCCUGGGCUCAAGUGAUCCUCUUGCCUCAGCCUCCUAAGGAGCUGGGACUACAGUUGGCCUAUUUUUUUUUUCUUCACAUGACAUCAGGAGAUCAUCAUUGCAACAAGCAACUCAGCUUAGAAGCGCUGGGAUAACUCCGAAAGAGACAUGUGAGACAAGAUGUAGAACUUUGUAUUAGAGUACAAUAAAAUUUAUAAUGCACAAA